rnacentral:rRNA from 1 species
CCUACGGGUGGCAGCAGUGAGGAAUAUUGGUCAAUGGGCGGAAGCCUGAACCAGCCAAGUAGCGUGCGGGAUGAAGGCCCUACGGGUCGUAAACCGCUUUUGCACGGGGAUAACACCCUCCACUUGUGGAGGUCUGCAGGUACCGUGCGAAUAAGGGCCGGCUAAUUCCGUGCCAGCAGCCGCGGUAAUACGGAGGAUGCGAGCGUUAUCCGGAUUUAUUGGGUUUAAAGGGUGCGUAGGCGGAUCGUUAAGUCAGUGGUCAAAUUGAGGGGCUCAACCCCUUCCCGCCAUUGAAACUGGCGAUCUUGAGUGGAAGAGAAGUAUGCGGAAUGCGUGGUGUAGCGGUGAAAUGCAUAGAUAUCACGCAGAACCCCGAUUGCGAAGGCAGCAUGCCGGCUUCCGACUGACGCUGAAGCACGAAAGCGUGGGUAUCGAACAGGAUUAGAUACCCUAGUAGUC